rnacentral:rRNA from 1 species
CGCGGCCUAUCAGCUUGUUGGUGAGGUAACGGCUCACCAAGGCAACGACGGGUAGCUGGUCUGAGAGGACGAUCAGCCACACUGGGACUGAGACACGGCCCAGACUCCUACGGGAGGCAGCAGCAGGGAAUAUUGCACAAUGGGCGAAAGCCUGAUGCAGCGACGCCGCGUGGGGGAUGAAGGCCUUCGGGUUGUAAACCCCUUUCAGGAGGGACGAAGCGAAAGUGACGGUACCUCCAGAAGAAGCCCCGGCCAACUACGUGCCAGCAGCCGCGGUAAUACGUAGGGGGCGAGCGUUGUCCGGAUUUAUUGGGCGUAAAGAGCUCGUAGGCGGCUCAACAAGUCGGCCGUGAAAGCCCGAGGCUUAACCUUGGGACGCCGGUCGAAACUGUUGUGGCUAGGGUCCGGUAGAGGAGAGUGGAAUUCCCGGUGUAGCGGUGAAAUGCGCAGAUAUCGGGAGGAACACCAGUAGCGAAGGCGGCUCUCUGGGCCGGCACCGACGCUGAGGAGCGAAAGCUAGGGGAGCAAACAGGAUUAGAUACCCUGGUAGUCCUAGCCGUAAACGAUGGGUACUAGGUGUGGCGGAUUCAUUGACAUCUGCCGUGCCGAAGCUAACGCAUUAAGUACCCCGCCUGGGGAGUACGG